CUCAUAGCGUAUAUUAAGUUGUUGCAGUUAAAACGCUCGUAGUCGGAUUUCGGGGCGGGCUGCUCGGUCUGCCGAUGGGUAUGCACUGGGUGGCGCGUCCUUCCUUCCGGAGACCGCGCCUACUCUUAACUGAGCGGGCGCGGGAGACGGAACGUUUACUUUGAAAAAAUCAGAGUGUUUCAAGCAGGCAUCUCGCUCUUGCAUGGAUUAGCAUGGGAUAAUGAAAUAGGACUUUGGUGCUAUUUUGUUGGUUUCGAACACCGAAGUAAUGAUUAACAGGGACAGUCAGGGGCACUCGUAUUCCGUCGAGAGAGGUGAAAUUCUCAGACCAACGGAAGACGAACAACUGCGAAAGCAUUUGCCAGGGAUGUUUUCACUGAUCAAGAACGAAAGUUAGGGGAUCGAAGACGAUCAGAUACCGUCGUAGUCUUAACCAUAAACCAUGCCGACUAGGGAUUCGAGGGUGUUCCAUCUGUGACCCCUUGAGCACCUUUCGGGAAACUAAAGUCUUUGGGUUCCGGGGGGAGUAUGGUCGCAAGGCUGAAACUUAAAGGAAUUGACGGAAGGGCACCACCAGGAGUGGAGCCUGCGGCUUAAUUUGACUCAACACGGGGAAACUUACCAGGUCCAGACAUUGUGAGGAUUGACAGAUUGAGAGCUCUUUCUUGAUUCAAUGGGUGGUGGUGCAUGGCCGUUCUUAGUUGGUGGAGUGAUUUGUCUGGUUAAUUCCGUUA
rnacentral:rRNA from 1 species